rnacentral:lncRNA from 1 species
AUUUUAGCAUUGUCCUGAAGUUUUUUCUUUUUUUUUCUUUUCUGUGUAGACUUUUAACUGUUCAAAUUAAAUUAUUUUAAAAUUUUCAGUUUGAUUCUCCCCUCCAUUACUUUAGAGACAGACUCUUGCCUUGUUGCCCAGGCUGGAGUGCAGUGGCACAGUCACACGUCACUGUAACUGGAACGUCUGGGCUCAGUCAACCCUCCUGCCUCAGCAUCCCAGAGAGCUAGUACCAUAUGCAGGCAAUGCCACACUCAGCUUUUUAAAAUUUUUUGUAGCGAUGACGUCUCAUCAUCUUGCCCUUGCUGGUCUUGAACUCCUUGGCUCAAGCAAUCCUCCGACCUCAGCCUCCCAAAGCUCUGGGUGGUUUUCCAUCUUUGAGAAGAAUGCCUGUUGUCAUUGUGGAGUGCCGGGUCCCAUAUACGUGGAUUAAGUCAGUCUUGUCAGUUACCUUGUUUCAGUGAUUUCACAACACUUUGCAUUCCAGAUCUAUCAAUUAUGGGAUGAUGUGUGUUAAAAUGUUUCACUGGAUUGCUGGCUUGUCAAUUUUCCCUGUGUUUGCAUCUUUUACUUCCUUAUAUUGAAGCACCUCUGGAAGACAUAUAAUUUUAAAUUGUUCACAUAUUUUUAUAGUGAAUUGAAUAUUUUGUCAUUUAUGCCUAUUAAUGCUUUUUUCCUUGAAGUCUAUUUAUCUCAUGUUAAUAGUAUAAGUCCACUAUAUCUUCUGUCAUCUUUUGUAUGAUUAACUUUUCUGUGGUCUUAUGUUUUGGGUGGUGUUUUUUAAUGGAUUAAAACAAAAAUUCAAUAUAAUAAUUAGCUUUGAACUGGUGAUUUUUUGUUUUCUUUUUUUGAGGUGAGCUCUGACUGUUGCCCAGGCUUGAACACAGUGGCAUGAUUGUGGCUCCCUGCAGCCUACGACUCCCAGGCUCAACCCGUCCUCCCACCUCAGCCUCCCAAGUAGCUGGGACUACAGUGCAAUGCAAGAAGAGUCAUGAAUUAAAGACGGAAUUUAUAACCAAGAGGGAAGCAGAACUUGAAUGUUGGGAAAAUUCGCAGCCCAACCGUACUGUGAAGAAUGUGAAAGUGUGUCCAGGAGAGACGCCGAAGGUACGGCCAAGCAAAUGUUUGAUAAGGAGGUUAGUGUGGACAGAGGGAGACUGGGAGACCGUAUGCUCCUCAUCAAGACAGCGGAGGAAUGAUCGGGAGGGCAUUGCUGAGACUUUCAUGGAUGUCUCAUCCACCACAAGUCCAGAAUGCCAGGGUCUUGGGAGCAGAAUGAUUUCAAGGCUUUGCUCCCUGCAUUUCUUUUUUUUUUUUUUAAUUUUUUAUUGGAUUUUAGGUUUUGGGGUACAUGAGCAGAGCAUGCAAGACAGUUGCAUAGGUACACACAUGGCAGUGUGCUUUGCUUUUCUUCUCCCCUUCACCCACAUUUGGCAUUUCUCCCUGCAUUUCUGCUGUGACAGCUGUGGCUCGUGCGGGCCCGGGACCAGCUCAGAGUGCCUCCUGGAGGGCAUAUGUGGUAAACCUGGGCAGCAUCUGUACGGGAACAUUGCCACACGAGCUUUGGAGGCAUGGUUGCCUCCACCUGGAUUUCAAAAGAUGCCUCAGACAGACUUAGGGCACAGGCAGAGAACAGCCACAGGGGUGGCAGGAGUCACUGGAGAGAGCAAUACCCAGUGA